AUUGAACGCUGGCGGCACGCCUAACACAUGCAAGUCGAGCGGCAGCAUGCUUAGUAGCAAUACUAAGUGAUGGCGAGCGGCGGACGGGUGAGGAACACGUAGGAAUCUGCCCAAGAGAGGGGGAUAACUAAGGGGAACUUUAGCUAAUACCGCAUAAUCUCUGAGGAGAAAAGUUGCCCGUAAGGGUAGCGCUUUUGGAGGGGCCUGCGUCCGAUUAGUUAGUUGGUGAGGUAAUGGCUCACCAAGACGAUGAUCGGUAACUGGUCUGAGAGGACGACCAGUCACACUGGGACUGAGACACGGCCCAGACUCCUACGGGAGGCAGCAGUGGGGAAUCUUGGACAAUGGGGGCAACCCUGAUCCAGCGAUGCCGCGUGGGUGAAGAAGGCCUUCGGGUUGUAAAGCCCUUUAGGCUGGGAAGAAGAGUGCGGGGUGAAUAAUCCUGUACUUUGACGGUACCAGCAGAAUAAGCACCGGCAAACUCUGUGCCAGCAGCCGCGGUAA
rnacentral:rRNA from 1 species